ACACCUCAACUCUCAUGGUUUGCCGUGAUGAGCUUGGACUUUGGGGGUCUUGCCGGCAUGACCGUCGGCUCCUCUCAAAUGAAUCAGCUUGCCAGUGUUUGGUGGCGUCACGGGUGUGAUAACUAUCUACGCUUGUGGUCUUCCAUCAGGUUACCUUCAGCAAUGGAGGUUCACUGGAGCUUACAGACGUCUCUCCUCAGGGAGGACAGCUUUUUGAACGU
rnacentral:misc_RNA from 1 species